ACCGUGUACAACUCACAAAUAAUAAUAAUAAUAUAAUUUAUUUAUAAUAGCCUUAUAUAAUAUAUAUAUAAAAUAGCCUUCUUUAUAUAAAUGCAGAAUAACAUUAAUAAUUCAUAGAAAUAAAUACACAAUUAAUUAAUUAAUAUAACUAAUAUAAAUUUAAUAUAAUAAAUUGUUUUUGUUUAUUAUCCACAUCCCAUUCAAUUUGCAUAGCAGCAGUCACAGUAAAUUUGCAUUGAUGAAUAAACAAAAUCUACUUAUGUCAAGGCUAAUUAAUCUUGAGCAUAUUGAUUUAAAAAUAUCAUAUAUCCAUACUUUGUUAGAUAGCUACUUGUUCAAAAAGGUAGCUUUAGUUUAACAUGUAAAAUAUGUGGAUCCUAUAGAAACACAAUCGCGGAGCACCAUGGUGAUUUAGAACGCCAACUGAAUUUAUGAGAAAUCUACAGACGCAAAUAGACUAAAGGUGUAGUAAAAUAAAGACCUAUAUGUGUA